AACAAAUGAAUCUUGUCCGUACAGGGACCACAGCCCGCAGGAGAGUUUCUAAGACAGAACAGUGGAAGGAGGCACCGCUGCCCUUCCGAGCCGCGGACGGGGCUGGGGCUGGGGCCACCGUGCGGGCGGCGGUCACACGGCCGCGAGAAGGAGGACAGUCGUCCGCGGAUUAGAUGCCCGCCCGGCCGCGCAGACGGGCCACUCACGCCAACGCUCUCGUCUUAUUCUGGCAAAGACUCCCAAUUUAGGUUCCUCUAAGGUAUUUAGGGAAGGGAGAAAAGUUUCUCCUGAGCCCACAGGGUCUUAAUCACCUCCAGCUCAAAAUAGCCUUUAUACCCAAAUGACGUAUUUUAGGGAGAGUCGUCCUGAACCCCUUGACACCCAUCCACCCCCCACGCCCCAUCCCUCCCCCCAGCCAACCCCCCAAAUUCCCUCUUCCAUCUACCCACCAGUCCGUCCAACCGUCUGCCCAGCCUGCCGCUGCCCGUCUCUCUGUCCGUUCACUCGACCCGUCCCUUUUCCCCACAAGCCUCUCUUUCCUCCCGUGGGGGGCUGACCCCCACUGACAGCGCUGCUUCCGGGUCCUGUGCCCUGGUGAACGGGAACCCAAAGGACAGAGGUCCUGUAGUUGGGGCCCAGGGCUGCCACCCGCCAGCCACCCCCAAGGACGGUGCUGCUUCUUUCUGUACACGAGUUCCCGACCAGCGAAGGGUCAGCGGUCUCCGGCCUUCCGAGGGCUCAGAGGUGGCUUCCUACGUGCCAGGCCGGGGCCAAACCUUUCUCUGAGCCGUGCAGGGUGUGGACCACCGAGGCUGAGUUAACCCCAUAUUGCACAGGCUUAGCCCUGGGUUCUCGGCUGUCGAAACCAGGCACCGUAGGAUGUGUGGAGGGAAGAGCUUGGGAAAGGCAGAGACCUUGACGGCUGGGGCGUAGGGCGGCCGGUGGGCAGAUCCUGGGCAUUGAGGAAAGCCAGAACUCUACUGAAGGGUAGAUUUCAGUCUGGAUGCCUCCGUUGAAGUUACCGGGUCAUAGAUAGCAUUUCCGCUCACCCGGGCUCUGGGACGACGCUCUUCCUGCCAUCCGGCGUUUGUGCAUUUCUCAAGGUCAGGAGGCUGUUCGAGUGUGUACCCGGCCCGGGAUGCCCUGGGCCCAGAUCCUGAGGGCUCGGCUUGGGCUUAGGAGCCAUCUGUCUGCUGACCGUGCUCGAGACCAGGCAGGAAUUGCCACCACCCCACAGCCGGAACCCUCGCUCAGUCCCAGACCCAAAGGCCAGAGAAGGCCUGGCCUUGCCUGCCGUGUGUCUACGUGACCAUGCCGUGUACCUACGUGCCUGCGUGGCCCCUGCCUGCCUCCCUCCCCCCUCGCUGUGGGGGCCGGUGGAUGACUGCAACCCUGCUGAACUCAGAGGAGUGCCAGUAGCUAGUCUGCUGAUUACUGUGGCGUUUCAGAGCUGACCCUGAGCGGUGCCCGUGAGCACGAACACCUUUGCUCGAGGGGACACGUCCCUCGUACAGCUGCAGGUCUGCAGGAGGUGGCACCCGCCACGCUAAGAAAUUCCCUCUGGUUCUUGUUUUUUACGCUCGGUUUGUUGGUGUGUUUGUUUUUAAGUCGUGGGUACGUAUUAAACUUUGUCAAAUACUUU